UACGUAGGGAGCGAGCGUUGUCCGGAUUCAUUGGGCGUAAAGCGCUUUAAGGCGGUUUGCUAAGUCGCGUGUGAAACCUCCAGGCUCAACCUGGAGACGCCACGCGAUACUGGCGUGACUAGAGUUCGGUAGGGGAUCACGGAAUUCCUGGUGUAGCGGUGAAAUGCGCAGAUAUCAGGAGGAACACCGGUGGCGAAGGCGGUGAUCUGGGCCGACACUGACGCUGCAGAGCGAAAGCGUGGGGAGCGAACAGG
rnacentral:rRNA from 1 species